GCCCGCCGGAGACCCCAACACGAACACUGUCUGAAAGCGUGCAGUCUGAGUUGAUUGAAUGCAAUCAGUUAAAACUUUCAACAAUGGAUCUCUUGGUUCCGGCAUCGAUGAAGAACGCAGCGAAAUGCGAUAACUAAUGUGAAUUGCAGAAUUCAGUGAAUCAUCGAGUCUUUGAACGCACAUUGCGCCCCCUGGUAUUCCGGGGGGCAUGCCUGUCCGAGCGUCAUUGCUGCCCUCAAGCCCGGCUUGUGUGUUGGGUCGCCGUCCCCCUCUCCGGGGGGACGGGCCCGAAAGGCAGCGGCGGCACCGCGUCCGAUCCUCGAGCGUAUGGGGCUUUGUCACAUGCUCUGUAGGAUUGGCCGGCGCCUGCCGACGUUUUCCAACCAUUCUUUCCAGGUUGACCUCGGAUCAGGUAGGGAUACCCGCUGAACUUAAGCAUA
rnacentral:rRNA from 1 species